AAAUGAAAAGAGCAGGACCCAUCACCGACCAAGGUCAUCUUCCACUGUCAAAAUAGCACAUUUUCUUUAGAAGCCAAAGUCUGGCGCAGAUGUUCCUUGACACUCCUUUAACAGCAUCUUGAUCUGUUGCCUGCCUGAAAUUUAGUCCUCACAGGAACAUGAGGAUUUUCAAACUAUUAGGUCCUCAGUCAGAAGCAGUCAUUAUUUCUUUCCAGGACAUUGCUGCAUGUGGGAGACCAAAGAAGAACUGAGUCCUCAUUCGCUUCCUCUGUGGACACAAAGGAGAAAAGCAACAUGCAGGGAUGAUGGUAUUGCUGAUUCCAGGGAAAAGUUAAUACAGCUAAGGUCAGGUUGUUUAGCCGACACGUUCUAGUGGAUAAUGGAAUACAGAUGGAUCUUGUUUGGACCUGUGUUUGAGUGAAUUGACGCAGAAUGAGCCAGAUUCUCGGGAGUUGCCUACUAGAGGUAUUUACAUCUUAACAAUGAGAGAAAAGUGACCAGGACAUCAACCAAAUGUUAUGAAGUUCAAGAUUGCUUGCCUCUCCUUCUGGAGUUGGAUUGCAGGUUUUUGUCUCAAACAAAGAAGUAAAUCAAAUAAGCAAAAAGCAAUCCAAAGUUUAUUUGAGAAAAUGGAAGUGAAGAUUGGGAGAGAAACUGGAUCUGCAAAACCAGCUUGGGCAGAGUAAACAGCAAAAGAAGAUUUUAUACUGUGGGAAACCAAUGGAGGGAAUAUUGCAUGCAAAAAAGAUUCAGAACAACCUUCAGAAGAUUUGGAGCACAAAUCUUAAAGACUUCCCGGAGAAUUUCCAAUGGUGAUAAAUGUCAAAACUCAGCAUCUAUUAAUGAGAACCAAGGGAGGGUUAUAGUUGAUUAUAAGGUCUUGGAUGCUUCUUCUUUUGUUGUGAGGAAAUUCCUGACUUAUGCAAUAGACCAAGAGGACAAGACAGAGUGAGAAUAUGGGUGAUAUUUUUAUGUCAAUAAAUACUAGUGCGUUGCCUGUUUCUGUUAAAUCUGCUAUGUACAGGAAUGUUCAUCAGUUGGAAUGAUUUGAAAUCAUGCUCUGGAGCAUAAAUUUUUUUAUUCUGCUUUUAGUUUAAAAAUUUUUAUUGUUUAUUAGUAGAUGUUUGCUCUACAUAAUGAUCACAUUCAUCGUGGAGUGUCAGUACAUAUAGAUAACACAUCUUGGUUUUACAUUCCCCUCUGCCAUUUUUUGUUUGUGGACCAUAAAUAUUUGUGUAUCUUUUACAGGCCAAGUAAUUCUUCCCAGUCCAUGAGACUUAUUUCCACUUUGUACAAAAGUAAUACCAGUUACAA